rnacentral:misc_RNA from 1 species
GAUGAAGAACGUAGCGAAAUGCGAUACGUAAUGUGAAUUGCAGAUUUCAGUGAAUCAUCGAAUCUUUGAACGCAAAUUGCACUCUCUGGUAUUCCGGAGAGUAUGCCUGUUUGAGGGUCAGUCAAAUAAAAAUCGGGGUUGUUACUGCUGGUGGUGACGCUUCGGAACUGGAUCGUCUUUGCCUUCGGUUAAGUGACCUAAAAUUUCGGAUGAUUUUUCGAACGUAUUUAAAUUUUUUACGUACGGUUUGUAUAUCGAAUAUUAGAUGUGAUCAUUUCCAUGAUUCGCGUCUAUAAUUUUUCAUCAAAUGACCUCAAAUCAGGUAAGAGUACCCGCUGAACUUAAGCAUAUCAAUAAGCGGAGGA